rnacentral:rRNA from 1 species
UACCCUGAACGGUGGAUCACUUGGCUCGUGGGUCGAUGAAGAACGCAGCUAAUUGCGCGUCAACUUGUGAACUGCAGGACACAUGAACAUCGACAUUUCAAAUGCACAUUGCGGUCCUCGGAUACGAUCCCCGGCUGAGGGUCG